GAUCCUGGCUUAGGAUGAACGCUAGCUACAGGCUUAACACAUGCAAGUCGAGGGGCAGCAUGGGUGUAGCAAUACACCCGAUGGCGACCGGCGCACGGGUGCGUAACACGUAUCCAAUCUACCCAUGGCUCAGGGAUAGCCUUUCGAAAGAAAGAUUAAUACCUGAUGGCUUCAGUGUCCCGCAUGGGAUGUUGAAUAAAGAUUCAUCGGCGAUGGAUGAGGAUGCGUCCGAUUAGCUUGUUGGCGGGGUAACGGCCCACCAAGGCGACGAUCGGUAGGGGUUCUGAGAGGAAGGUCCCCCACACUGGAACUGAGACACGGUCCAGACUCCUACGGGAGGCAGCAGUGGGGAAUAUUGCACAAUGGGGGAAACCCUGAUGCAGCCGACGCCGCGUGAGUGAAGAAGUAUUUCGGUAUGUAAAGCUCUAUCAGCAGGGAAGAAGAUGACGGUACCUGCACAAGAAGCCCCGGCUAACUACGUGCCAGCCGCGGC
rnacentral:rRNA from 1 species